rnacentral:rRNA from 1 species
UGGGGAAUAUUGGGCAAUGGAGGAAACCCUGACCCAGCGACGCCGCGUGCGGGAUGAAGGCCUUCGGGUUGUAAACCGCUUUCAGCAAGGAAGAAGCGAAAGUGACGGUACUUGCAGAAGAAGCACCGGCUAACUAUGUGCCAGCAGCCGCGGUAAUACAUAGGGUGCAAGCGUUGUCCGGAAUUACUGGGCGUAAAGAGCUCGUAGGUGGUUUGUCGCGUUGUUCGUGAAAUCUCACAACUCAAUUGUGAGCGUGCGGGCGAUACGGGCAGACUGGAGUACUGCAGGGGAGACUGGAAUUCCUGGUGUAGCGGUGGAAUGCGCAGAUAUCAGGAGGAACACCAAUGGCGAAGGCAGGUCUCUGGGCCAUUACUGACACUGAGGAGUGAAAGUGUGGGGAGCGAACAGG